rnacentral:tRNA from 1 species
GGGGUUGUAGCUCAGUGGUAGAGUGCUUGCCUCGUAUGUAUGAAGCACUGGGUUUGAUCCUCAGCACCA